GACGGAGGAUGCAAGUGUUAUCCGGAAUCACUGGGCGUAAAGCGUCUGUAGGUGGUUUAAUAAGUCAACUGUUAAAUCUUGAGGCUCAACCUCAAAAUCGCAGUCGAAACUAUUAGGCUAGAGUAUAGUAGGGGUAAAGGGAAUUUCCAGUGGAGCGGUGAAAUGCGUAGAGAUUGGAAAGAACACCGAUGGCGAAGGCACUUUACUGGGCUAUUACUAACACUCAGAGACGAAAGCUAGGGUAGCAAAUGG
rnacentral:rRNA from 1 species